rnacentral:rRNA from 1 species
UUAGUAGUCGUACCACAAAAUUGUAACCAAUACAACUUUUAACAAUGGAUCUCUUGGCUCUCGCAACGAUGAAGAACGCAGUGAAUUGCGAUAACUAGUGUGAAUUGCAUUACUUUGUGAAUCAUCGAGUCUUUGAACGCAUAUUGCACUGUUUGGCCCUCCAAACAGUAUGCCUGUUUGAGUAUCAUAAACACCCUACAAGCAAUUGCGCUUGUGACGUGGGCAUCAAGGGCGCCAGCUCUUCGGCCUCAAAUGCAGCUUCAGAUGACGGCGCAGCCUUCGCAGCGUAAGCCUAUCGCGACAAGUGCAACAUGCCUUGGCAACGAGCGGAUGCGCAGCCGAUGGCGGCCGUCGACAAGUCUGACGACGUUAUGCGCUGCCUGCGUGCAGCACACUACACCUAACUGUGAUCUCAAAUCAGGCAAGACUACCCGCUGAACUUAA